rnacentral:rRNA from 1 species
CCCUUAGAUGUUCUGGGCUGCACGCGCGCUACACUGAAGCUAUCAACACGUUUUCCCUCCCUGAGAAGGGCGGGUAACCUUUUGAAUCAGCUUCGUGGUAGGGAUCGGGGCUUGCAAUUGUUCCCCGUGAACCAGGAAUUCCUAGUAGACGCGAGUCAUAAGCUCGCAUCGAUUAAGUCCCUGCCCAUUGUACACACCGCCCGUCGCUACUACCGAUUGAACGUUUUAGUGAGGCAUUUGGACCGACGCAUCUCAGUUUAACCGCUGGUUUGUGUUGGAAAGACUUCCAAACUUGAGCGUUUAGAGGAAGUAAAAGUCGUAACA